rnacentral:rRNA from 1 species
CCCUUAGAUGUUCUGGGCCGCACACGCGCUACACUGAAGGAGGCAGCGUGUACUCCUGGAUCGAAAGAUUUGGGUAACCCGCGAAUCUCCUUCGUGCUAGGGAUUGAGGUUUGCAAUUAUCCUUCAUGAACGGGGAAUUCCCAGUAAGUGCAAGUCAUAAGCUUGCGCUGACUACGUCCCUGCCCUUUGUACACACCGCCCGUCGCUACUACCGAUUGAAUGAUUUAGUGAGGACUUCGGACUGGGACCGAUGCGGCUUUCGGGCUGCGUCGGUAUUCUGGAAAGAUGUCCAAACUGUAUCAUUUAGAGGAAGUAAAAGUCGUANCA